rnacentral:rRNA from 1 species
ACAUACGACCAUAGGGUGUGGAAAACAGGGCUUCCCGUUCGCUCAGCCGUACUUAAGCCACACGCCGGGAGGUUAGUAGUUGGGUGGGUGACCACCAGCGAAUCCCUUCUGUUGUAUGUU